GCCCGGCGUGGUGGCGCCCCCCUGUCAUCCCAGCUUCUCCGGAGGCGAGAGGCUGAGGCAGGAGGGUCGUGUGAGCCCAGGAGUUCUGGGCUGUAGUGCGCGGUGCCUUUCGGCAUCAAUACGGUGACCUCCCUGGAGCGGGGGACAGCAGGUUGCCUAAGGAAGGGUGAACCUGCCCAGGUCGGAAACGGAGCAGGUCAAAGAUCCCGUGCUGGUCAGUAGUGGGAUCGCGCCUGUGAAUAGACACUGCACUGGGCCACAGAGCAAGACCCCAGCUCUU
rnacentral:SRP_RNA from 1 species